CCUACGGGUGGCUGCAGUGGGGAAUAUUGGACAAUGGGGGCAACCCUGAUCCAGCCAUGCCGCGUGUGUGAAGAAGGCCCUCGGGUUGUAAAGCACUUUCAGUGAGGAAGAACGCCUGGUGGUUAAUACCCAUCAGGAAAGACAUCACUCACAGAAGAAGCACCGGCUAACUCCGUGCCAGCAGCCGCGGUAAUACGGAGGGUGCGAGCGUUAAUUGGAAUUACUGGGCGUAAAGCGCGCGUAGGUGGCUUGAUAAGCCGGUUGUGAAAGCCCCGGGCUCAACCUGGGAACGGCAUCCGGAACUGUCAAGCUAGAGUGCAGGAGAGGAAGGUAGAAUUCCCGGUGUAGCGGUGAAAUGCGUAGAGAUCGGGAGGAAUACCAGUGGCGAAGGCGGCCUUCUGGACUGACACUGACACUGAGGUGCGAAAGCGUGGGUAGCAAACAGGAUUAGAUACCCUAGUAGUC
rnacentral:rRNA from 1 species